GCUAGUCAGAGAAAGGAUGUGAGAAGAGGAGGAGGCUUGCGGUUUCUGUAGCAAGCAUGCGGUUUUGUUAGAUUCUGUGGAUUUUGGACAACGGUUUUACAUGCAAUGUAUUUGUGCUAAAUGGAAUUCGUUUUUCCCUUUUGUGUUCUCCUCCGGAUACAUUAAUAUAGCUUGGAAUCGUGUGUUUUCCUGUGCGGCUCAGUUCAUUGGUAAACUAGCGGUUGCUACAGUCGACAGUCAAUCAAGUCUGGGCUCUCUGGUAUUAAUUUAAAUGUGCCGGUGAAUUUUUGUGGACAUCUGAAUUGUGGUUUUGGAACAAUCAUUUUCGUUUAGCCUUUGGUAUUUCAAUAACCGAGAGUUUAUUGUGCAGCCUUAUUGACAAGGUAAGAUUGUAACCGUUACUCAGGCUACUGUACCCCUAUAUUGAUAGCCGACUGUAUCCCCAAAAAUUGCAACAUUGUAUCUUGACUGCGCAAUGAGAAACUAGGCUACACGUGCACUGUCCUCUCGAUUACUGUAUCAGUGAUUGCCAAAGCGUUGUUUGACAGCUGUCAUUGGGAUUGCGCUGGACAAUAGGGCUUGCCUGUAGGAGCCAUUUGCUAUUGUUUUCUUCUGUGGAUAGAUCAAAACAUAAACAGAUCGAACAUGUCGCUCAGCAGAAGUAUUGAAUGGGAACACUUUGAGGAACGGGACAAAACGCACCGUUCAUCACGGGCUAACGGCUCGGGAUCCCAGUCCGGCUCCAGAGGCAACGGUCUCGUGCCCAGCCCGGCGCACAGCGCGCACUGUAGCUUUUACCGAACGCGCACGCUCCAGUCGCUCACCUCGGAGAAGAAAGCCAAAAAAGUGCGGUUCUACCGAAAUGGUGACAAAUACUUCAAGGGUUUGGUGUAUGCCGUGUCCAACGAUCGUUUUAGGUCCUUAGACGCCCUGCUUAUGGAGCUUACCCGGUCUCUCUCGGACAACGUCAACCUGCCACAAGGUGUCCGGAGCAUCUACACCGUGGACGGCAGCAAGAAGAUCAGCAGCCUGGACGAGUUAGUAGAGGGUGAGAGCUACGUGUGUGCCUCUAACGAGCCCUACCGCCGGGUGGACUACACCAAGAACGUUAACCCCAACUGGUCAGUGGGCAUCAAGGCAGGCCAGUCCCGCUCCCUGUCCUCCCUCAGCACCCUGGUAAAGGGCGAGCUGCAGCGUAGCGAGGCCAGCCUCGGCACCAGAGACUUCAUCAAGCCCAAGCUGGUCACAGUCAUCCGCAGCGGGGUCAAGCCCAGGAAGGCAGUGAGGAUCCUGCUGAAUAAGAAGACGGCCCACUCCUUCGAACAGGUGCUGACCGACAUCACAGACGCCAUCAAGCUGGACUCCGGGGCAGUCAAACGGCUCUACACACUGGAGGGAAAACAGAUCACCUGUCUCCAGGACUUCUUCGGCGAGGACGACGUGUUCAUUGCGUGCGGACCAGAGAAGUACCGCUACGCGCAGGAUGACUUCCUGUUGGAUAACAGUGAAUGCCGGGUGCUCAAGUCAUCAUACUCUGCCCGCUCGCCCACUCCAACGAGGGCUGCUGGGAGCAAGAGCCCUGGACUCUCACGCCGUAUCAAGUCCCCUGGCAUAGUAAGAAGACCAAUCCAUUACUCCACCAGUAGUCAGUCUCCUGUUAAAUCCCCAGUCAAUGGAGUCCCCAGCAGUACGAUCUCCACCCCCAAGUCCACCAAAUCCAACAGCUCCUCCCCCACCAGCCCCCGCAGUAUACACAGCUUCAAGAUUCCGCCACAUCACACGUCUGCCACCAAUGUGAACGGGUCUUCACACAGUCUGGAGAAGGCCAAUAACAUGAGUCCUGAGGUUAACGGCAACAGCUGUAGCUCUACCACAACCAUCCUGGAAAAAUACAAGGUCGGCAAGGUCAUAGGAGACGGAAACUUUGCAGUGGUGAAAGACUGUGUGGAACGGUCCACUGGGAAGGAGUAUGCACUGAAGAUCAUUGACAAGGCCAAGUGCAGUGGAAAGGAGCACCUGAUAGAGAAUGAGGUGGCAGUGCUGAGGAGAGUCAAACACCCCAACAUUAUCCAGCUGAUAGACGAGGUGGACACACCCACUGAACUCUACCUGGUUAUGGAGCUGGUCAAGGGUGGCGACCUGUUUGAUGCCAUCACAUCCUCCACUAAGUACACAGAGAGAGAUGCCAGUGUUAUGGUGUAUAACCUGGCUGGAGCCCUGAAGUACCUCCACAACAUGAACAUAGUACACAGAGACAUCAAGCCUGAGAACCUGCUGGUGUGUGAAUACCUUGACGGCACUAAGUCUCUGAAGCUGGGGGACUUUGGUCUGGCCACCGUGGUUGAGGGGCCCCUGCACACCGUGUGUGGAACCCCCACCUACGUGGCCCCUGAGAUCAUCGCUGAGGCUGGUUAUGGUCUGAAAGUGGAUAUCUGGGCAACUGGGGUCAUCACCUACAUCCUGCUGUGUGGCUUCCCUCCCUUCCGCAGUGAGGACAACCUUCAAGAGGACCUGUUUGACCAGAUCCUGGUGGGACGACUGGACUUCCCUGCUCCCUACUGGGACAACGUCACUGACUCAGCCAAGGAGCUGAUUGGGCGGAUGCUGCAGGUGAACGUGGAGGCUCGCUACACGGCACAGGACAUCCUCUCUCACCCCUGGGUCACGGAUGACAACAUGGAGAACAACAUGAAGAUGGAGGUGUCAGGUAAACUGAGGACACACUUCAACACAGCGCCAAAGCACAGCACAACCACAGCAGGAGUGGCAGUCAUCAUGGUGAAGAUGAAGGAGAGGAGACAAUGAGAGGAAGCCACCUGUGUCCAGUAUACCCACUGCAGCAGUAGAAGGGGAUUAGCAUGUCCUAAGGGGCGUGUAAGGGUUCAUUUGGGACUGCCCCGGACUUGGGGGGUAAACCUCAUUUUGUUGAAAAUCUCCUUUGACAGUUUGAGAUGUAAAGGUGAUCCCUGCGCCCCCCCUGCUCAUCCCACUCCCACCUCAUCCCAGGACCACAGGGGAAGCUUUGGAGCUGAGUGCAGGAACACAGCUCUAGAUAAGAAGAGGAUCCAGCUGACUCGUCGCAGCCAGAGGCCCACAGCACCACCUCCACCCCCACCACUGCCUGGG